UUAUUUGAGAGUUUGAUCCUGGCUCAGGAUGAACGCUGGCGGCGUGCCUAACACAUGCAAGUUGAGCGAUUUACUUCGGUAAAGAGCGGCGGACGGGUGAGUAACGCGUGGGUAACCUACCCUGUACACACGGAUAACAUACCGAAAGGUAUGCUAAUACGGGAUAACAUAUUUGAGAGGCAUCUCUUGAAUAUCAAAGGUGAGCCAGUACAGGAUGGACCCGCGUCUGAUUAGCUAGUUGGUAAGGUAACGGCUUACCAAGGCGACGAUCAGUAGCCGACCUGAGAGGGUGAUCGGCCACAUUGGAACUGAGACACGGUCCAAACUCCUACGGGAGGCAGCAGUGGGGAAUAUUGCACAAUGGGCGAAAGCCUGAUGCAGCAACGCCGCGUGAGUGAUGAAGGCUUUCGGGUCGUAAAACUCUGUCCUCAAGGAAGAUAAUGACGGUACUUGAGGAGGAAGCCCCGGCUAACUACGUGCCAGCAGCCGCGGUAAUACGUAGGGGGCUAGCGUUAUCCG
rnacentral:rRNA from 1 species